ACAACUAUUGAUUGCGCGUCUACAAUAAGGCUAUUAUUAGUACCUAUUAUUCGCUUUUCAAUUACUUACCUACAUAAAUACUAUAACAAUGAACCGUCCAAACCACAUGCCUGGAGCUUUCAACGUCCAAGGAUACUCUAUCGCACCAAACCCCUGUUUUGGACCGAACAGAUGUGCAGUUAACCCACAUUAUGGGGUACCUGUCAACCCAUCAGCACACUACAACACUUGCUUCGUCUCUGCAUCCUCGCUUAGGAAAGCGUACCCACAGAUGACUCAUCCUAGAAAUAAUUGUUUUAAGUGAUUUGCCUUGAUAAAGGUUUUGUUGAAUCUCGAUUUUUGGAAUAUAUUAGGCAUAUAUAGACAUAAGUAUGUUAAGAAAUUAAUUUCUAAGAUAACCUAAAUAAUAAACAUAUUAACUCUUA